rnacentral:rRNA from 1 species
AGAGUUUGAUCAUGGCUCAGGACGAACGCUGGCGGCGUUAACACAUGCAAGUCGAGCGGAAAGGCCCUUCGGGGUACUCGAGCGGCGAACGGGUGAGUAACACGUGAGUAAUCUGCCCCUAGCUCUGGGAUAGCUCCGGGAAACCGGGAUUAAUACCGGAUACGACCACUACAGACAUCUGUUCUGGUGGAAAGAAUUUCGGCUAGGGAUGAGCUCGCGGCCUAUCAGCUUGUUGGUGGGGUAACGGCCUACCAAGGCGACGACGGGUAGCCGGCCUGAGAGGGCGACCGGCCACACUGGGACUGAGACACGGCCCAGACUCCUACGGGAGGCAGCAGUGGGGAAUAUUGCGCAAUGGGCGAAAGCCUGACGCAGCGACGCCGCGUGGGGGAUGAAGGCCUUCGGGUUGUAAACCCCUUUCAGCAGGGACGAAGCGAAAGUGACGGUACCUGCAGAAGAAGCGCCGGCUAACUACGUGCCAGCAGCCGCGGUAACACGUAGGGCGCAAGCGUUGUCCGGAAUUAUUGGGCGUAAAGAGCUCGUAGGCGGUCUGUUGCGUCCGCUGUGAAAACUCGGGGCUUAACCCCGAGCCUGCAGUGGAUACGGGCAGACUAGAGGUAGGUAGGGGAGAAUGGAAUUCCCGGUGUAGCGGUGAAAUGCGCAGAUAUCGGGAGGAACACCGGUGGCGAAGGCGGUUCUCUGGGCCUUACCUGACGCUGAGGAGCGAAAGCGUGGGGAGCGAACAGGAUUAGAUACCCUAGUAGUCC